UACAGAGGGGGCAAGCGUUGUUCGGAAUUACUGGGCGUAAAGGGCGCGUAGGUGGCCUGCUAAGUCGAACGUGAAAUCCCCGGGCUCAACCCGGGAACUGCGUCCGAUACUGGCAGGCUUGAAUCCGGGAGAGGGAUGUGGAAUUCCAGGUGUAGCGGUGAAAUGCGUAGAUAUCUGGAGGAACACCGGUGGCGAAGGCGGCAUCCUGGACCGGUAUUGACACUGAUGCGCGAAAGCCAGGGGAGCAAACGGG
rnacentral:rRNA from 1 species